UCCUGAUUACAGUAGCGUACAGCAGCAUUUUCUGAAAUGAGGUCUGUGCGACACAGGUUCCAGGGGAUGCUCACAAAGCAUCGCGAAGGCCCGCGGCGGGUGUUGACGCGAUGUGAUUUCUGCCCAGUGCUCUGAAUGUCAAAGUGAAGAAAU
rnacentral:miRNA from 1 species